CUCCUGGGGGGCAGGGCCAGGCGAGGAGAGCCAUUCGUGUCGGGACCGGAGCGCGGACAGAAGGGAGCUGCCUCUCACCCAUUGCGUAUCGCAUGUUCCUG